rnacentral:rRNA from 1 species
GAUGAACGCUGGCGGCGUGCCUAAUACAUGCAAGUCGAGCGAACGGACGAGAAGCUUGCUUCUCUGAUGUUAGCGGCGGACGGGUGAGUAACACGUGGAUAACCUACCUAUAAGACUGGGAUAACUUCGGGAAACCGGAGCUAAUACCGGAUAAUAUUUUGAACCGCAUGGUUCAAAAGUAAAAGACGGUCUUGCUGUCACUUAUAGAUGGAUCCGCGCUGCAUUAGCUAGUUGGUAAGGUGACGGCUUACCAAGGCAACGAUGCAUAGCCGACCUGAGAGGGUGAUCGGCCACACUGGAACUGAGACACGGUCCAGACUCCUACGGGAGGCAGCAGUAGGGAAUCUUCCGCAAUGGGCGAAAGCCUGACGGAGCAACGCCGCGUGAGUAAUGAAGGUCUUCGGAUCGUAAAACUCUGUUAUUAGGGAAGAAUAUAUGUGUAAGUAACUGUGCACAUCUUGACGGUACCUAAUCAGAAAGCCACGGCUAACUACGUGCCAGCAGCCGCGGUAAUACGUAGGUGGCAAGCGUUAUCCGGAAUUAUUGGGCGUAAAGCGCGCGUAGGCGGUUUUUUAAGUCUGAUGUGAAAGCCCACGGCUCAACCGUGGAGGGUCAUUGGAAACUGGAAAACUUGAGUGCAGAAGAGGAAAGUGGAAUUCCAUGUGUAGCGGUGAAAUGCGCAGAGAUAUGGAGGAACACCAGUGGCGAAGGCGACUUUCUGGUCUGUAACUGACGCUGAUGUGCGAAAGCGUGGGGAUCAAACAGGAUUAGAUACCCUGGUAGUCCACGCCGUAAACGAUGAGUGCUAAGUGUUAGGGGGUUUCCGCCCCUUAGUGCUGCAGCUAACGCAUUAAGCACUCCGCCUGGGGAGUACGACCGCAAGGUUGAAACUCAAAGGAAUUGACGGGGACCCGCACAAGCGGUGGAGCAUGUGGUUUAAUUCGAAGCAACGCGAAGAACCUUACCAAAUCUUGACAUCCUUUGACAACUCUAGAGAUAGAGCCUUCCCCUUCGGGGGACAAAGUGACAGGUGGUGCAUGGUUGUCGUCAGCUCGUGUCGUGAGAUGUUGGGUUAAGUCCCGCAACGAGCGCAACCCUUAAGCUUAGUUGCCAUCAUUAAGUUGGGCACUCUAAGUUGACUGCCGGUGACAAACCGGAGGAAGGUGGGGAUGACGUCAAAUCAUCAUGCCCCUUAUGAUUUGGGCUACACACGUGCUACAAUGGACAAUACAAAGGGCAGCGAAACCGCGAGGUCAAGCAAAUCCCAUAAAGUUGUUCUCAGUUCGGAUUGUAGUCUGCAACUCGACUACAUGAAGCUGGAAUCGCUAGUAAUCGUAGAUCAGCAUGCUACGGUGAAUACGUUCCCGGGUCU